CAGCAUGCCGCGUGCAUGAGAGGCCUUCGGGUUGUAACUGCUUUUGUCAGGGAAGAUAUCCUUUGGGCUAAUACCUCGGAGGGAUGACGGUACCUGAACAAUAAGCACCGGCUUACUACGUGCCAGCAGCCGCGGUAAUACGUAGGGUGCGAGCGUUAAUCGGAAUUAC
rnacentral:rRNA from 1 species